rnacentral:rRNA from 1 species
AUGAACGCUGGCGGCAUGCCUUACACAUGCAAGUCGAACGGCAGCGCGGGAGCAAUCCUGGCGGCGAGUGGCGAACGGGUGAGUAAUACAUCGGAACAUGUCCAGUAGUGGGGGAUAGCCCGGCGAAAGCCGGAUUAAUACCGCAUACGAUCUACGGAUGAAAGCGGGGGAUCUUCGGACCUCGCGCUAUUGGGGUGGCCGAUGGCGGAUUAGCUAGUUGGUGGGGUAAAGGCCUACCAAGGCGACGAUCCGUAGCUGGUCUGAGAGGACGACCAGCCACACUGGGACUGAGACACGGCCCAGACCCCUACGGGAGGCAGCAGUGGGGAAUUUUGGACAAUGGGCGAAAGCCUGAUCCAGCAAUGCCGCGUGUGUGAAGAAGGCCUUCGGGUUGUAAAGCACUUUUGUCCGGAAAGAAAUCCUGAUGGCUAAUAUCCGUCGGGGAUGACGGUACCGGAAGAAUAAGCACCGGCUAACUACGUGCCAGCAGCCGCGGUAAUACGUAGGGUGCAAGCGUUAAUCGGAAUUACUGGGCGUAAAGCGUGCGCAG